rnacentral:tRNA from 1 species
GGGCGGUUAGCUCAGUUGGUAGAGCGCAUCGUUGACUCCGAUGAGGUCAGAAGUUCGAACCUUCUACCGCCCACCA